rnacentral:snRNA from 8 species
AUACUUACCUGGCAAGGGAGAUACCGUGAUCAAGAAGGCGGUUCACCCAGGGCGAGGCUCAGCCAUUGCACUCCGGCUGUGCUGACCCCUGCGAAUUUCCCAAAUGUGGAAAUCUCGAUUGCAUAAUUAAUGGUAGUGGGGGACUGCGUUCGCGCUCGCCCCUG